GAGCCAUCGCUGUUUCUGCAAGACUUGUUGUCGUCAUGUUCUUUCCCGUAUUUGAGCAGAAGUGACACUCCAGAGAAUACCGCCUUACACGCUUCGCUGGAGAGAGAGGGAGCAGGCACCGAGGAGAGAAAGGUGAGAUGCUACCCAACGGAUGAACAUCUCACCUGAAAGAUGCUUUGUAUUGGCGCUGGCGGACUUUGACCACUACAACACGAGGACCAUCUUUCUGAGUUGAGGAGAACGGGUUGUGGCCUACAGAAGCUUCACUUUCCUGAGGAUAUUGAAAAUUGCUCAGCUGCCCCACAUGAGAUCUACUGAAAGAAUGCUUGAGAGGGUUAAGGACAUUUCCUCAUCCGUCAUGGUAGAUGUUUACCAUUACUCCCAUACCUUGGCUCCAACUUCAGACAAGAGAAGGGGAUUACAGUAAAUGAAAACUGUCUUAACAUCAGUGAGGGGAAAAAAGGACAAAUUAGAAAUAAAGUACCCAAAAGUUUUGGCUGUUGAAGUAAAAGGAUGACACAUCACUGGAAAGAUAAACACAGCGCACAGUGGGAUAGAAAAAAAAAACACUGAGGAGACUAAUAGAAACCAGAGAAAGAUAGGGAGG
ensembl:lncRNA